rnacentral:misc_RNA from 1 species
AGCAGUGAACACUCUUUCAAGCAAGGCUGAGGCCCAGCUGGACCCAGAAUCUCCUAUCAGCAAGAAGGCAUCUUCUUCAGAUCAUCAGUCUUUUGAUCAGAAGCAUCUACAGCUUCAACAGCACCAGCAACAAAUAGAGAUGGCAAGUGAUACCUCAAGAACAGGAGGACCCUCAGAACUGAAUACAUCCCCUGCCAAACCACCUCAAGAAAAGAGGAAGGGUUCAACA